UGCGUAGAGACUAGGGGAUGAUACACCCAGGUGGUGGAUGGGCGACUUUUUUGGUCUCUUAGUUUACAGUUGACGGCGCCAAAAAGUCGGCGGUGCAACACAGGAUGUUGCUUCCACUGCUAGUACGCCUCGUAAACGAUGACAUGGUAAGUGUUAGAGGGUUUCUGCACUCUAGUGUCGAAGUUAACCCAUUAAGCACACGCCUGGGGAGUACGGCCGCAAUCAGGAAUUCAAAGGAAUUGACGGGGGUUUGCACAAGCGGUUUAGCAUUGGUUUAAUUCGAAGCAACGCGAAGAACCUACCAGGUCUUGACAUCCUUGGAAAACCCUAGAGAUAGGGUCAUCCUUUGGGAGCAGAGUGACAGGUGGUGCAUUGCUGUCGUCAGGACGUGUAGGGAGAGAAUGGGUUAAGCACCGCAACGAGGGCAAUCCUUCAUACUUUUUGCCAUCCCUUAAGUGGGCACUCUAAGGCGUCCCCCGGGGGCAAACCGGGGGAAGGUGGGGAAGUCGUCAAAUUCUCCUUCUCAGUUUGACUUGGGAUACACACGUGCUUCAAUCGACGGUUCAAAGAGUUGCAAGACCGCGAGGUGGAGAUAAUUUCAUAAAACCGGAAUCAGUUCGGAAAUUAGGAUGCAACUGGCUUACAUGAAUCUGGAAUCGUUAGUAAUCUUGGCUGGGCAUGUCGCGGUUAAUAGGUUACCGGGCCCUGUACUCACCCCCCCUCCCUCCACGAGAGUUUUAGCACCCGAAGUCGGUCGGUACUAGUCAGAGAGAGCAGCCUGCUAGACAAU
rnacentral:rRNA from 2 species